UUGCCGAAAUGGUAAAACCCGGGUAACCGGGUGACACAAAGCUACCAUCCAAUUGUAUUGGAUAGAGGGGCUGCCGAA
rnacentral:ncRNA from 1 species